rnacentral:rRNA from 1 species
AGGGUUUGAUUAUGGCUCAGGAUGAACGCUAGCUACAGGCUUAACACAUGCAAGUCGCAGGGUAACAUGAGGAAAGCUUGCUUUCCUUGAUGACGACUGGCGCACGGGUGAGUAACGCGUAUCCAACCUUCCCAUAACUACGGGAUAACCCGUUGAAAGACGGCCUAAUACCGUAUGAUAUCGUUUGCUGACAUCAAAUAACGAUUAAAGGUUUAGCGGUUAUGGAUGGGGAUGCGUCUGAUUAGCUUGUUGGCGGGGUAACGGCCCACCAAGGCUACGAUCAGUAGGGGUUCUGAGAGGAAGGUCCCCCACAUUGGAACUGAGACACGGUCCAA